rnacentral:lncRNA from 1 species
AGCCAUUCAAAUUCAAAGCAUGUUUGAAUUUGAAUAGAUAACUUAUCACUUGCCCUUUCAUCCUUAUCCAUUUUGUGCACCACAUUACUUACACGAGAAAAGGUUUCUCGUGAAACAUUUUCCACGCACAAAGAGCCACGCCCCUUCUCUUCUCACACCCAAAAGGAUAGGGAUAAGUUGGUUUUCGUUUGAAUUCAAAUUUGAUUUGAAUUCAAAUGUGUAACCUCUUGUCUUUAUCCUCUCACGCGGAUAAGACACGUUCAACGUUGUUUUAAAAAGAGAAGAAAGGUGGGACGUGCAUAGAAAUUUUAGGAGAGAAACUUUGGGGUGUGAGGAAGGCUUCUGCAUAAGGUGAAGGUUCAAAACCUUCCGAGAGAAAAAGAAAGAAAAGAGAGAAAAUUAGGCGCAGGGUUUUUGGUGUGUACCCUAGGGUUUCUACCUAGGGUUCGGGAAGUGAGAUUGGUGUGCCACGAGUGUCGUGAGUCCACCAAAUUUUAGGAAGAGAUCCAUCAGCCUCUCAAGCAACUGUGCAGAUGAUCCGGAGCAUCCGAGAAGUCAGCACACAUCGAUCGAAGGAGUUCGAUCAACAUCUGCCAUCAAAAGGGUGAAAUCACGAACUAGCAUUCGUGAGGAGCUGAUCAGACGGAAGCUUCGUGUGGACGAUCCGCAGAGGCC